ACUCAAAUAGUUUAAAUAAAAUGUAGGCUUGUGGUGCUUAAGAUGUAAAAAAUUACUUUGGGUA
rnacentral:tRNA from 1 species